rnacentral:rRNA from 1 species
UACAGAGGUCUCAAGCGUUGUUCGGAUUCAUUGGGCGUAAAGGGUGCGUAGGUGGUGGGGUAAGUCGGAUGUGAAAUCCCGGAGCUCAACUCCGGGUCUGCAGUCGAUACGGGCAAACUGGAGUACUGCAGGGGAGACUGGAAUUCCUGGUGUAGCGGUGAAAUGCGCAGAUAUCAGGAGGAACACCGGUGGCGAAGGCGGUUCUCUGGGACGGUACUGACGCUGAGACGCGAAAGCGUGGGGAGCGAACAGG